GGAAAGACUUAAAAUUGCAAGUUAAGAUAGAAAAUAUGGCAAUUCGACAGCAUGUUCUUCAAAUGGCAUGGUUGACAGACACAAAUGCAAUUGCUCAAAGUCUCUCUUCUGUACAGGAUGGUAUAGUGGUGCAACCAAUGAGACCAAG